ACACCAAGCUGUCAAAUGGGAGGAGGCUCUUUGAAGUGUGGAGAUAAGGACCCUUCUAACCUUCAGUCAGGUAUGAAAGCAGCAGCACAGGAGCGUGUCCUUCCACUGGACUCGUCGUGGAACAGCCCAGCUGAGUUCAUUCAGAUUCCUCAGAGGGGUUGGCACUGGCAGCUGGAUCAUCGCGGUGCCUUGAGAAAGGACUUCUGCACAGCAUUUCUCAUGUAAGCAGAAGCUCUUAGCACUGAAAAUCUUCCCAAAAAAGGAUUCCCCUGAGCUGUAAAACUGAGGUGAAGGCUUUCUCACUCCCCUCCAACUCUCCCUUUUCCCCUCCAUCUGGGUGCUAUGACUGGCAAAUGCCUUUGAGACCAUGGAAGGACAGAAAAUCAGUGUGGAAGAAGUGAGCUCUGGGAAAGAGAAGUCACAGCAGAUGCAAUUCCACCAAACAGCAGAGAAACAAAAGCAAAAGCCAGACAGUACUGACAAACAGAAAAGGAACGAGCAAGGAGCUGCCCCAGCACGGUCUUGUAGUGAAGAAGGAGGGCAAGGAGAGCCUGAUGCUGAUUUUUCCAGUCCUGACUGUGCCACAGUUGCUUUCUGUCACCUGGAUAUGAGCACACCGUGACUGCCGCCUUGACAUUGUGCCGAGCUGACAUCCCGACCGGUCUGACACUGAUGCCUUUGGGCAGAAAUCAGAGCCGGUUUGCUCCACGGCUCCGUGCAGCCACGACGCCGGCAGCGCCUCCCAGAGCCCCCCGUGCCCCGCUGGGGAAAUGGAGCGAGCACGUGGGCCCCAGCUGAACUCCGGGCCGAGCGCAGGCGUUAUCCGCACUCAUCCUCCUGCCCCUUUUCAGCUUUAAGUGUUCACGUUCACAUGGGUUUAUUUAUUUUUAUUUUCCCCCCCUUUUCUCUCCCUUUUUCCCUGGCCCGUGAGAGGGUUGGUUUCCUGUUUCUCCCCCGGCUGCAGAGUCCUUGGGGAGCUGGGUUUCCGUGAGCUGGAAAAGGAGUGCACAAGCGUCUGAUCAGCCCUUAUUAGUGUUGAGAAAGAUCUAAUGGGUCCUGGCUUCUGGGACCAUUACCUGUCAUUUACUUUUAUUAAGUCAGUGAUGAGAAAGUUUAAAAUUAAAGGCUUUGUAAAUUGGAUUGCAGUUCUAAAGGAAGGCACCGAGCAGGAAGCCAGUGCCUGAGCUUGCAGAUGGACCACUGGGAACAGCACCAGGCCAGGGCGUUUCUCUUCAGCUGCUUUGACAAAGGUCCUGUGCCCAGAGCGUGGGGAGAACAAAGCCUCGAGGUAUCUAGAAACCUUCAGCCAUGUGAACCAUGUAAUCCCUCCUUUGCCAGGCUGCUCAGGUUCAGACCUCCUGUUGAGGAGGAAGGGUGGUCUGCUGGUUGAGCCAUUACCUGGGCUGGGAGCUCCGUUCCGGCUGAAAUGAUCCCAGAGAAAUCAUGUCAUCUCCCUGUGGUUCUGGUUUAUAAGGAGAAGGACCUCGUGUUAGUAUUGAUUUUGUUUCCUACCUGUUGCCUGGUUUGGGGGCUCUUUGGCCCAGGUACUGUCUUUAACUCUUGUGCUUACAACAGAAGCUCCAACUCCUGUGGGUCUUCCAGGCAAAAAUAAAGGCUUUUGUUAAGUCUGUAGGAGAGAGCAAGUAGAAGGGAUGAGCCACCUAGUUAAGGUAAGCAUCUAAUUCUUAGGGGUUGUAGCAUUGUUGUAGUCUCUGCUUUUGAGACUUAAUCUUUGAGUUAACCACCCAAACACACUUGUGAGUGAAACACCCCAAUUGCACUAAAGCAAUGCAGCUAAUUAUGGUGUGACAAGGGAAGCUCAGGGGCCAACCCUAACCAAGAGCUGCUGUCACUUCUGUUUUCUCAGCUGAAUAAAAGUCUCGUGGUGACAUUGCUCUGAUGAGAAGCAGCAUGAACUGGUGGUUAAGAUUUGUGAAGAUUUGGAAGGGAUGCCCUCUGCCCAUCCCCUCUAACACCCCUACAGCCAAGCUCCAGGUGUGAGUCUCCACUUCUAGGAAGAUUCUCCUGUUUUUAAAGAACCAGGACUGAGAGCAGAGGCUCACAUCGUACAAAACCACAUCCUUCACCUUUCCCAGAGAGAUACCAAACCACACAGGCAGGAGGCACAGCAGCUCCUUGACUUCAGCUAAUUGCCAGGUUCCCUUGAAGGAGGAGUGAUGCCUUUCCCAAGUUUCUCUGCUAGGGAUGUGAGGAGCUGAUCUCCGAGCUAUUCAGUGGUUUCUUACAUCAUUCCUGUGUUCCCAGCCCUGCCACUCGACCACAAGGCUUUCAGAAGCAGGAAAGUUCCUCUGUCUGGUUCAGUGCCUGGUCACGGCGAGUUUUCCUGGCACAAACGAGUGGAAAGAGCACUUUGGCAUGGAAAGGAAAUGAGCAGCAGAGGGUGAAAGGUGUCCUGGCAGACACUUCCCACUUGUGUCCUCACCUCCCUGUCUCCAGCCGUCUUCAAAGGCUGCCCAGCUCCUGUGUCCUGCAAGUUCAAAACCCUGCAGCCCACUGGGACUGCAGAUGUGUGAAGGAGCACAAGGACUGCAGCUGAAUGACAGUCUUCUCCUCCGACUUGGAAAUCUGCUAGGUUGCUGCUGCUUUUCUGAGAGAUGAUUCUUGGCUUGUUAUCAAGUGAACUGCUAAUGAAUUAGUUACAUUUUUUAAAGAGUGAUGUGAGUCUGGGGACACCCAAGGAAUUCUUUCUCAGCCAGAAACAGAUCCUCAUUGAAAUGGACUCCAGGAGGUUGGAGUAGAUGAUCAGGGCAUUUUGUUGCCCUUAAAGGCAAGGAAAGAUGAGGGUAGAGCAGAGGAAGAUAAGAAGAAGAGUAGGC